UAAGGAAUAUUGGUCAAUGGACGAAAGUCUGAACCAGCCAUCCCGCGUGCAGGAUGACGGCCCUAUGGGUUGUAAACUGCUUUUGGCAGAGACGAAACGCCUUCAUUUAUGGGGGUCUGACGGUAUCUGCAGAAUAAGCACCGGCUAACUCCGUGCCAGCAGCCGCGGUAAUACGGAGGGUGCAAGCGUUAUCCGGAAUCACUGGGUUUAAAGGGUGCGUAGGCGGGGAAUUAAGUCAGUGGUGAAAGCCUGUCGCUUAACGAUAGAAUUGCCAUUGAUACUGAUUUUCUUGAAUUGGGUUGAGGUUAGCGGAAUGUGACAUGUAGCGGUGAAAUGCAUAGAUAUGUCAUGGAACACCAAUUGCGAAGGCAGCUAGCUGGGCCUU
rnacentral:rRNA from 1 species